rnacentral:sRNA from 1 species
GCCGAUCCCCUCCCCUCCCCUCUCUGCGAUCCCCUCGCCUUCCCGCUCCUAUCCUCUCUCGCAGAAAAAACAUCCCAUCCCUAAAAUAACGCCGUCCGCGCUCAUCGCUCUCCAUCGCGUCGCCAUUGUCCCCUUCGUCAGCCUCCCCCUCGCCAUCCAUCCGCCCCCCAGGUCCCCUCAACCCUAACCGCGCUGCCUCAACCGGUCGCCGCCGCCGCCUCACCCUGUGCCCUCGCCAGAUCGAUUCCGCGAUGCCCUGCCUCCUUGCCUUGCUCGCCUUGGAGCAUCUCGCGCUGGAUCCCGCAGGUCGCGCCCCUAUUCACGGCCACCGUGGACCGAUCUGCGACUGACGAUUGCGAUUUGUUUUUUUUUAUGCGUCGGACUCGUGAAUUUUGUACGGGUGACCCAAUUUCGGUGUCUGAUGUUAUUCCCCUUUGCAUCUUUUAGGAAAUUUUGUGGAAUGCUAAUGACCACCGCAAUCAGCAAGGAGGCAAUCGCCCAGUGCUUCUUUGUGGAUUCCUUCCUUUAAUCUGAACAAAAAGGACUCAGAGCUGCUAUGUUGAGUUCAUCAGAGGUAUAUGUAUGGCAAACUCCACUCUCUAUAUUUCUCUAAUCAUUUUCUAGGUAAGCUGUAAGUAAUCUGCUACGAUGAAGUCAUGCUCACAAUGAACAAUCAUUACUAUGUAGUUAGGCUCACUAAAAUUGAUGGCUUGCAUCUGCAAUAUUUCAAUCCUUAUGCUCAUGCAAAUUAACCUUUUUCAGAUCAGUGCAGUACAAUCCAACUUUUGAUUAUUGAUACGUAGUCUUCAGUUUUCAACUGAUCAAUACAAGAACCUUAAUUGUAAGUCUCAUCUUUUGUACUUGACUUUGUGUAUACAUUAUAUAUUGACAAGGAACAUGGAAAGUUUCAAAUUGCUGUCAGAUAUAUGUUUCCUAAGUUUGAUUAUUUGUUUAAUCUUGCAGCUAAUAAUCGCCAUUGAUCUCAGCUAAACACCCCUUAUAUAAUUGUUUAGCGGCUAUUUAUCUAGAAUGUAAGAAGAAAAAAAAGGGGGCCUUGUUUAAUGGCACUAACUGCACAUUGGUAAUAUAUCAUACUAUUAGGUAAAUAUUUACUGAUGUACUUUACACUCCUAUUAUGCAAAUGCUAAGUUACAAUAUGUACUUUACACUCCUAUUAUGCAAACGCUCUAGGCAUAUAUCUUUUUUGAACACAUAUAUUUUUCACAAGAGGUAGUAGUUAGCAGGUGAUAAACUGAUAACAAGAUAGCAGCAAGGCAUGGAUUGAGCGAUUAAGCUUCAUUUAAGACUGUACAGCACCUUCGCCACACACAACCGUCGUUCAAGCAAGCGUCGUCAUCGUCUUAGAGCGAGCAAGUGAACGGUGGGUUCAGGGUCAUCGCUCAGUGGGUUCAGGGUCAGUGCCGAGACGGCUCGUGCUGACCAACGGUGUCGCCGCUGCCGUCAUCAUCACCAUCACCGACCUCUUCUCUCAGAGACAUAAGAAAUGUGUUUAUAAAUAUAGCGCCGAGGCGGCUCAUGCUAACCAACGGCGUCGCCGCCGCUGCCAUCAUCACCGUGACUGACCUCUCCUCUCAGGUGGGGUUCAUGUACCUUCUUACUCGGUCGGCAGUAAAAAUCCAUAUUAUUUUACUCUCCCUGUUCUUGCCUGGAAUCGCAGCUUGGUUUGUGAUAUGAAGCUUUAUCUCUGUUAAUUUGUCUCAGUGGCAUAAGAUGUGUAUUUAUCUCAUGUUCAAUUAUGCUAGGGGCCUUUGAUCUGUCACUAACCUGAGUCAUGGCCUAUAUUUUAUUGCCACACAUCAAAUCGCACUGGGAAUUUAUCUGCAAAUUUGUUUUGCUAUAUUGAUGUCAUGAGAUAGGUACUGCCAUUAAGUACUUGGCGUUUAUUUCUUUUGUUGAUGGGGGAUAAAAUAUGCGUUAUUUCUUUUGUUGAUGGGGGAUAAUUGAUGUCAUAAGAUUAGUUGAUGAUCUUCAAUACAAUAAUUGCUUCAGUAUAAGACUACUGUCUUCUUUGCCUUGAGCAGAAUUCCUUUGACUAUCCUGUUCAGGUGAUGUGAGAGCGUUUUGAUUCGUAGAGUAUCUUCAUUGCUCUGCCAGAAGUUAUACUUCUGCUCAACAAAAGAGUUUGGUAAGAUUUGAACGGUUGGUUGUACAGAACAUGCCAGUUGAUUGACGGGAUGUACCCAGUUUGGAGCCCAUAUAACUUGUGUAUUUCUUAUUUGCAAUUAAUCCCAACAUUUAAAGGUGGUGUUGAAAUGGUCAUGUUUGGCGUUUGAGGUUAUAAAUUAGUGGCGUUGUAUUAUGCUUUCAUGCUGCUAUUGACAAAUCAAAUUGAUGUAUGUUAUUUCAAAACUUUGAAUAUAAAAUCGCAUUGU